UGGCUCAGAUUGAACGCUGGCGGCAGGCCUAACACAUGCAAGUCGAGCGGCAGCGGAAGUAGCUUGCUACUUUGCCGGCGAGCGGCGGACGGGUGAGUAAUGUCUGGGAAACUGCCUGAUGGAGGGGGAUAACUACUGGAAACGGUAGCUAAUACCGCAUGACCUCGAAAGAGCAAAGUGGGGGAUCUUCGGACCUCACGCCAUCGGAUGUGCCCAGAUGGGAUUAGCUAGUAGGUGAGGUAAUGGCUCACCUAGGCGACGAUCCCUAGCUGGUCUGAGAGGAUGACCAGCCACACUGGAACUGAGACACGGUCCAGACUCCUACGGGAGGCAGCAGUGGGGAAUAUUGCACAAUGGGCGCAAGCCUGAUGCAGCCAUGCCGCGUGUGUGAAGAAGGCCUUAGGGUUGUAAAGCACUUUCAGCGAGGAGGAAGGCAUCAUACUUAAUACGUGUGGUGAUUGACGUUACUCGCAGAAGAAGCACCGGCUAACUCCGUGCC
rnacentral:rRNA from 1 species